UAGUCUGCAACCCGACUACAUGAAGCUGGAAUCGCUAGUAAUCGCGAAUCAGAAUGUCGCGGUGAAUACGUUCCCGGGUCUUGUACACACCGCCCGUCACACCAUGGGAAUCGGAAAUGCCCGAAGUCAGUGACCCAACCGUAAGGAGGGAGCUGCCGAAGGUGGAGCCGGGUAACUGGGGGUGAAGUCGUAACAAGGUAAC
rnacentral:rRNA from 1 species